GCAGCCGCGGUAAUUCCAGCUCCAAUAGCGUAUAUUAAAGUUGUUGCAGUUAAAAAGCUCGUAGUUGAAUUUCAGGCCUGGCUGGACGGUCCGCCUUUCGGGUGAGUACUGUCUGUGGUCGGGUCCUACCUUCUGGCGAAGCGUCAUGGCCUUAACCGGCCGUGGCGGGGAACCAGGACUUUUACUGUGAAAAAAUUAGAGUGUUCAAAGCAGGCAAUCGCUUGGAUACAUUAGCAUGGAAUAAUGGAAUAGGACAAUGGUUCUAUUUGUUGGUUUCUAGGACCGUUGUAAUGAUUAAUAGGGAUAGUUGGGGGCAUUAGUAUUCAAUUGUCAGAGGUGAAAUUCUUGGAUUUAUUGAAGACUAACUACUGCGAAAGCAUUUGCCAAGGAUGUUUUCAUUAAUCAAGAACGAAAGUUAGGGGAUCGAAGACGAUCAGAUACCGUCGUAGUCUUAACCAUAAACUAUGCCGACUAGGAAUCGGGCGAUGUUGACAAAAUGACGCGCUCGGCACCUCAUGGG
rnacentral:rRNA from 1 species